GGUCAAGUUACUAAGAGUGUAUGGGGGAUGUCUUGGUGUCGAGAGGCGAUGAAGGACGUGGUAGGCUGCGAUAAGCCCGGGGCA
rnacentral:rRNA from 1 species